GGACCCUGUUGUGUUACUACGACUGGUCUGAAAUGCAUGAGUGCACCCUGCUGUUGCAGCGUCUUCAGUGUGAUAAGCAUCUUCACUGGAUCAAGUUCCUUCGGGACACGCACGCAUUGUGGGCUCUGUGCUGGCAAACCGUCUUCGGACAAUUUUGACAAUUUGACCUCAGAUCGGGUGGGACUACCCGCUGAACUUAA
rnacentral:misc_RNA from 1 species